GAAGUAGUUUCGUCAUGAUAUGUUCAUUAUUUACUUUCUUUUUAUUAUUAUAAAUUCAAUUAAUAAUUAUUUGAUUUUGGGUUUAGCGCGUUAGUCCUUUUGACUUUAAUGUGUAGGGAGAAAUGUAAAUUCCCCUUUAUGACAAGUGUGUACUGGCGCUUCGCGAAAAAAGUAGCAGACGACAAAAACACAUUUUUGAGAUAGUUGGAUUUGGAUGUUGAUGAGAUAAGACGUAUUUAUGAGAUUUGUAAAAAGUAUAAGAGUAUGUUGUACGAAGGAAUAUUGACGUUGUAUGUAGUUGACUUGUGUUAUGUGGAGAAUUUAAUAGUUUGUUAAUAAAGGUUUGUUAGAAAAGAAAUUGUGUUUUGGUUGUCAAAAGAAUAACAAGGAAUUAUAAUCUAGUAAUUAUUUAGACUUGAGAUUUAUUAUGUCUCAACUUGGGUAAAUUUCGGCAGACAACUUAGAGGGAAGUAGUGACUAAUCUAGUCAAUAAAUUGAGCCUGGGAAGUAAACAAGGAUUCGAAUGCAGUUAAUGAGCCUGGAAAAUUUCCAAAUUACUUUUUGGUGUGAGGACCAUUCUAUUCUUGACGAAGCAGAAUCUAACCGACGACCUUCUUACGGUAAAUUAGGACCAUACAGAGAGGAGACCAAGGAUUUGAUAAUUGCCGUACGAGUUUGACAAUGGCAAUGAACUGCUUACCGCUGGAAACAAUCAACAUGGCCAUCCAGAAAUUGAUGCAGUGAACAGAACCAAGAAUUAAAGACUAUAAGUGAAGUGAACUUUGUAAAAUUUUUUUAUGUGUUGAAGUAGGAUAAUGUUUAGUUAAUUAUUAUAUUUUUUUUUGUUUAGUAUUGUUAAAUGAAAAAAGUAUUUUUUUUUAUUGAUUUGAUUUGUUAUGAGUUGUAUGUUUCUGAUGUGAGUUCGAAUGCAUAAGAGUUAGAUUCAAUCUCAAGGGGGGAGUUUUAUGACGAAGUAGUUUCGUCAUGAUAUGUUCAUUAUUUACUUUCUUUUUAUUAUUAUAAAUUCAAUUAAUAAUUAUUUGAUUUUGGGUUUAGCGCGUUAGUCCUUUUGACUUUAAUGUGUAGGGAGAAAUGUAAAUUCCCCUUUAUGACAAGUGUGUACUGGCGCUUCGCGAAAAAAGUAGCAGACGACAAAAACACAUUUUUGAGAUAGUUGGAUUUGGAUGUUGAUGAGAUAAGACGUAUUUAUGAGAUUUGUAAAAAGUAUAAGAGUAUGUUGUACGAAGGAAUAUUGACGUUGUAUGUAGUUGACUUGUGUUAUGUGGAGAAUUUAAUAGUUUGUUAAUAAAGGUUUGUUAGAAAAGAAA